CACGGAAGUCACAAUAAAGAGGAAAAGUGAAGUUAAAAUAGACCCGUUGGCUUCCCGUGCGUGUGAGCCCCGUUAACCGCUGGACGCGCUCUGCGGUGUCAGGUACCGGAGUUCAGGCGCACCGGGGAGAGGGAGAGCUGCGUCAAGCUAGCCGCCUAGCGGCAGACCGGAUGCGCUUGGAUAUUACUUUCAAAAUAAGACGUUCUAAUCCCGGAAGUUAUUAUUUUGUAUAAUACGGAUAAAUUAAUGGGAACGCGUUGAAUUAGCAUUCUUAGCGAUUAGCUAGCGUCGUAAAUUGCAAACUGGAAUUAAAAUUGGGCUGACUAACUUCUUAAAUUGCAGCUAUGAGCAGAUAGGUAAAAUCCCUUGAGGAGCCUCAACGCUAAUAGCCAGAGUUAAUAAAAAUAUGCAUGCAUACCUGUUGCCAAGUAUUUACCAACCAAGCUUUAAGUAAUUGCCGUCUGCAUGCCUACCUUGGUUCCACAUCAUCAUCAUCAUCAGCCCAAGCGCAGAUAUUAGCUCACUGCCAGCAUCCCGGACCGUGUGAGCGCUAGCGUGGGCGAGUGGUGCUGUCAUACGAGUGGUGACGCGCCACAGUCACACUCAGCAGGGGUGUCGUCUCACCAAACCCAAAAGGUGUGGCAGAGCUCCAACACAGGACCUUAAAGCCACUAUGAUGAGCUUGAUGUGUGAAAGAAGUAUCCAGAUCCUUGGCCUCAAUACCGAAAUGCACAAAUACUGGCCACAGCUCUUAUACAUCCAGCAUUGAGAAUUUCAUUUCACUUGUUUUUUCCAUUUAAUUCCAAUUCCAUAUAAAUGCUGACCUUAAAUGAAUGAAAUCACCCCCGUCAUCACUGUAAACGAUGGAGGUGAUACUAACAAGCCAGAGAGUAAAAACGGCAGAAUCUGCAUCUUAACGUACUAAAAUAGAGCUCCUGCUCAUUUUUCUGGGGGCUCCAUCUAAUUCCCUUAAGGCCUCCUGGCGCUCCCUGGAUCCCGCUUUGGGAACUAAUUUUAGAACUACAGUGUACAGUAGGUCUUAGUAAAUAGCUUACAGGGAGCACUUGUCUUAAAUGCUCUCCUGCUAAUUUUUUAAUAUUUACAUAUGGCCUCUAAAUCAUUUUCUGGGGAUGUUUUGCUUAAUGUUUACACUUUAUUACACUGAAAAUAAGAGUCUCGUAUUAAUAGCUCAGAGGGUACAAUGCUCAUUACACUCAAGAAAACAAAUUUGGACGGAUUAAUAAAAGACAGCUAUACUAUUAUUGGCUUCUACUA
rnacentral:lncRNA from 1 species